rnacentral:rRNA from 1 species
GCCAGACUCCUACGGGAGGCAGCAGUGGGGAAUAUUGCACAAUGGGGGAAACCCUGAUGCAGCGACGCCGCGUGAGCGAUGAAGUAUUUCGGUAUGUAAAGCUCUAUCAGCAGGGAAGAAAAUGACGGUACCUGACUAAGGAGCCCCGGCUAACUACGUGCCAGCAGCCGCGGUAAUACGUAGGGGGCAAGCGUUAUCCGGAUUUACUGGGUGUAAAGGGUGCGCAGGUGGCAGGGCAAGUCAGAUGUGAAAGCCCGGGGCUCAACCCCGGUAUUGCAUUUGAAACUGUCCGGCUAGAGUGCAGGAGAGGUAAGCGGAAUUCCUAGUGUAGCGGUGAAAUGCGUAGAUAUUAGGAGGAACACCAGUGGCGAAGGCGGCUUACUGGACUGUAACUGACACUGAGGCACGAAAGCGUGGGGAGCAAACAGGAUUAGAUACCCUAGUA